rnacentral:rRNA from 1 species
AGUCGAACGAACUUAAUAUCUUGCUUGCAAGGUAAGCGGUUAGUGGCGGACUGGUGAGUAACACGUAAGAAAUCUGCCUAUCAGAGGGGAAUAACAGUGAGAAAUCACUGCUAAUACCGCAUAUGCCAUAAACAUCGCAUGAUGUUAGUGGGAAAGAAGCAAUUCGCUGAUAGAUGAGCUUGCGGCUGAUUAGCUAGUUGGUGGGGUAAAGGCCUACCAAGGCGACGAUCAGUAGCCGGACUGAGAGGUUGAACGGCCACAUUGGGACUGAGACACGGCCCAGACUCCUACGGGAGGCAGCAGUAGGGAAUUUUCGUCAAUGGGCGCAAGCCUGAACGAGCAAUGCCGCGUGAACGAGGAAGGUCUUCGGAUCGUAAAGUUCUGUUGAAGGGGAAAAAGAGCGGAGAGAGGAAAUGGUCUCCGAUUGAUAUUACCCUUCGAGGAAGUCACGGCUAACUACGUGCCAGCAGCCGCGGUAAUACGUAGGUGGCGAGCGUUAUCCGGAAUGAUUGGGCGUAAAGGGUGCGUAGGCGGCCUGCUAAGUCUGGAGUGAAAGGUACCGGCUCAACCGGUAUAGGCUCUGGAAACUGGCGGGCUAGAGAGCAGGAGAGGGCGGUGGAACUCCAUGUGUAGCGGUAAAAUGCGUAGAUAUAUGGAAGAACACCAGUGGCGAAGGCGGCCGCCUGGCCUGUUACUGACGCUGAGGCACGAAAGCGUGGGGAGCAAAUAGGAUUAGAUACCCUAGUAGU